AUACUGACCUGGCAGGGGAGAUAGCGUGAUCACAAAGGUGGUUUUCCCAGUGUGAGGCUUAUCCACUGCACUCCAGAUGUGCUGACCCCUGUGAUUUCCCCAAAUGUGAGAAAUGUGAAUUCAUAAUUUGUGGUAGUGGGGGACUGCAUUCAUGCCCUCCCCUG
ensembl:snRNA U1 U1 spliceosomal RNA